GAUGAACGCUAGCGAUAGGCUUAACACAUGCAAGUCGAGGGGCAGCAUGGUCUUAGCUUGCUAAGACUGAUGGCGACCGGCGCACGGGUGCGUAACGCGUAUGCAACUUGCCUCACAGAGGGGGAUAACCCGUCGAAAGACGGACUAAUACCGCGUACACUCUAUUUUGGGCAUCCAAGGUAGAGGAAAUGAAAUUCGCUGUGAGAUAGGCAUGCGUCCCAUUAGCUAGUUGGUGAGGUAACGGCUCACCAAGGCGACGAUGGGUAGGGGAACUGAGAGGUUGAACCCCCACACUGGUACUGAGACACGGACCAGACUCCUACGGGAGGCAGCAGUGAGGAAUAUUGGUCAAUGGGCGAGGGCCUGAACCAGCCAAGUCGCGUGAAGGAUGACUGUCUUAUGGAUUGUAAACUUCUUUUGUAGGGGAAUAAAGAGGGGCACGUGUGCCCCAGUGAAUGUACCCUACGAAUAAGCAUCGGCGAACUCCGU
rnacentral:rRNA from 1 species